rnacentral:misc_RNA from 1 species
UAAGAUGGUAGUGAACGGGGACGAAGGGGGGGCGAGUAUCGUGUGCGCGAAGUACGAUCGUAGUAGUAGGUUUCAACUCGGUGGCAAGCCUGUUACGGAUCUCGUACCGGGAUCGCCCGUAUUCGAGCCCUCGUCGAACAAGGUAAGAAGGUCCAAAGUGAAGAGUAUGCUUUUCCAACGCUUCCUCUGCACUCUCGUCGCCACGCAUCACCCCGCAUCGCGCUGCACGCUUCCGCACGCAACCACGCCUCGCGCCACUAAUCGCUCUUGCUCUAACCGUUCGAAAAUGAUGGGCGAGGAGGGGGACGAGGAGGAAUACGAUUCGUGGUCGGUCCACUCCUCUCCCUGCCUCGACGACACGAACUCUUGCACCGUUGUCCGUUUUUCGAACGGCGAGGAUGGGGAGGGGGGGAGGCUCUCCUUCCUUCUCUCCGCGAAUAAGCGAUCGACUCGAGGAAGAGGAGAAGGAGGAGAAAGAGGAAAUAGAAGUCGAGAAACGGACGAGAAUUGUCGCAACGAAUUGUUGCGCGAGUUGUCUCUCGCGCAUGCGCAAAACAGGACUAACUCGAGGCUGUCGCUCGAGUAUCACGGGCGUUCCAAGCUCGAUCUCGAAACGAUAUCCUUGCUCGAUCUUGACAGAUCGAGCCGCGGCUUCGAAUUCACCGAGUCGAGUUUNAUCUCGCGGUCAAACUCGUGGGAAAACUCGGAGGGAAGGAGAGAAGAGGAGUCGGGAACGCCGGAUCGGGGGAGAAGGAGGAUAAUACGUACGUACGCCUCGCGCCAUCGCUGCGAUCAUCAUCAUCAGGUUGCCGAGGUAAAUCAGACCGGUCUGAACGGGGUGAAACCUGCCAUCCCCCCGAGAGAUCAAAAGAGGGCACCUGCCAGACCGCCGAAAGAUAACCUACGUUUGUCCACGCAGAACAAUAACGUGGAGAGCACCGAUAACGCGAAUGCCGAGCCUACGCAACAACAACUGCAUUCCAUCAGAAAAUACCAGGAGCAGCUACGUAAACGAAAGGAUGAGGAGGAGAGGCAAGAGAUACUCAAUCAAUCGUUACGCGGAUCGAAAAAGCUGCAAGCUCUGGAGAGCCACGCGACCAGCCUCUCGGGCCAAGAAAAUCUCGCAUACACCCAGGACGAGGUGACCACCGUCGGCCGUCCAACGCACGUCACCACGCAAGAAGUAGAGGAGCCUCCCAGGCCCCUCACAUACGGAGAGGUCGUCGCGACGUUGGAGAGGCUACAGCUUCAGUUGCGCAAUAUUUCCGGUGCUCUAGGCAUUUCGGGGCCGGGUGUCGAAGCCGAACUCGAAGCGGUGCGAACUCUUCUGGUGCAAAGUCGAUUCGCAUCUGCCCUCGCCACCCAUCACAUCCUCAGAAAUCGUCUAAGAUCGAACAAAGUUUUGAAACAUCACACCGAGGACGCCUCCACUUUGGCACGAGACUGUGUGGACAUUCUCGAGAAAUGGCAGUCCUCGUCGACAGCAACAGGUGUCGGUGGAGCGGAAACGAUCGCCGCCGUCGAGGAACUGACAGGAAUUCUGACGAGCUACGACAUGGAAGCCCUCCUCCUCACCCACGACUCCAUCAUCUCGUACGUGGAUGGACUGCAGAGAAAACAGAGCCCCUCGUCCUCGUCGCCGAGCGGUCCACCGAGCCCGACUUCCAGCUGGAGAGGCUCACGUGUCGUGGACAACAUAAAAAUUAUCAGAAUCGAGAAAACCAACGAACCUCUUGGUGCUACGGUCAGAAACGAGGGUGAUGCGGUUAUAAUAGGGCGUGUCGUGCGAGGAGGUGCGGCCGACAAGUCUGGACUUUUGCACGAAGGGGACGAGGUUCUCGAGGUGAAUGGCGUGGAAAUGCGUGGCAAAAGCGUAAACGAAGUGUGCGAUAUUCUUGCUGGUAUGCAGGGCAGUCUAACCUUCCUCGUGCUCCCGGCACCCACGAGUCACAGGAACAAUUUGUCGAAUAGAAGGGAAGAUACGAACCAGAUACAACACAUACGGGCCCACUUCGAUUACGACCCCGAGGAAGAUCCUUAUAUACCGUGCAGGGAAUUGGGUGUCAGUUUUCAGAAGGGUGAUGUGUUGCACGUGAUCUCUCAAGAGGAUCCUAAUUGGUGGCAAGCGUAUCGAGAGGGUGAAGAGGAUCAAACUCUGGCUGGCUUGAUACCCAGCAAAGCCUUCCAGCAUCAGCGAGAAUCAAUGAAGCAAACUAUCGCUGGUGAUAAAUCGACCGUACGCGGUUCCAAGAAAUCUAGCACGUUGUUGUGCGCUAGAAAGAAUCCAAAGAAGAAGAAACGGAAUAAAUUUGGGGCGAAUUACAACGACGACGGAUAUCCACAUUACGCAACGACUGCCAUUGACGAUUACGACAGCGAGGAGGUGCUUACUUACGAGGAAGUCGCGUUGUACUAUCCUAGAGCGAAUCACAAAAGACCGAUAGUCCUUAUAGGGCCACCAAAUAUCGGGCGACAUGAGCUGAGACAGAGGCUGAUGCACGACAGCGAGCGUUUCGCGGCUGCUAUUCCUCACACGAGUCGUCCAAGAAAGGACUCGGAAGUGGACGGACAGGAUUAUCAUUUCAUUUCUCGUUCUCAAUUCGAAUCCGAUAUACUUUGUCGAAAGUUCGUCGAACACGGCGAGUACGAGAAAGCCUAUUACGGCACCUCCGUCGAAGCUAUACGAUCCGUAGUAAACUCUGGUAAAAUCUGUGUUCUUAAUCUGCAUCCCCAGAGUCUGAAGAUAUUGCGAAAUUCGGACUUGAAACCGUACGUGGUAUUCGUCGCGCCGCCAAGUUUGGAGAAACUUCGCCAAAAAAGGAUCAAGAAUAACGAGAGUUUCAAGGAGGAGGAGUUGAAGGAUAUUAUAGAGAAAGCAAGGGAAAUGGAGGAUAAAUACGGGCAUCUGUUCGACAUGAUCAUCAUAAACACGGAUACGGAUAGAGCGUACAAUCAGCUGCUGACGGAGAUCAAUUCGUUGGAAAGGGAGCCUCAGUGGGUGCCUGCUUCUUGGGUUCAGUAAAAAAAAAAAAAAGAGAAAAAAAAAUAAUGUGGAACGGAGCAAUGUUUUUUUUUCGAAACACCAAGCCAAAUUUCGCUGAGACAGCGGAAAAGGCCAGUAAUCGAGAGAGGCGGGUUUAAAGUCUGAUUUGGAAAAAAAAAAAAAAAAUCGAUGAUCAAUCGUUUUUAGUUGAAGAAAGAAAUUUUCCCAAGAGUAGUUUCAUUCGUUGAUGUCGUAAACCCAGCUAGAAGCGAAAGAAUGUUUCCAGUGAGAGAAACGUGAAAAAAAAAAAAAA